ensembl:lncRNA
UUUUUUUUUUUGUUUAAUUUUUGCCUAGAACUAGUCCUGUACCUUCUCAAUAUUUCAAACUGCUUUUUCACAGCUCUUGAAAUCUUCAUAGCUUUACAGUCCUGUAACCUAAAUUUUGAUGACCUAAAAAAAAAAAAAAAGCCACAAAAAAAGUCAAGCAAAGGAAUAAAUCUAGUUCGUCAUGAAAGGUACAAACCUGAUGAAUUUAUAGGAGUUUUUAAAUUGUAUCUUUCCUUUAUGUAACAUGUCUAUUUAGUGCCUUAUUAAAGAAACAGUAACCCUCCCUUUUUAAGAGAGGGGGAAACAAAAUCAUCAUUAGCAUCACAAGUAACCAGCUCCACCUCAAUGGAGCCUUUUGUCUUUCUUCAGUCCAUCCCUCUGCUUUGCAGUCCCAAGAACUGUAUAUUUCAAGUGCAGAUACCAGAUCUGGGGCACAGAUCAACUCCAAGUUCUGAAUGGGUGUUUAGAAAUAAUGGUCUGUUCUUUUUUAUUAUUGUUGUUGUUGUUGUUAUUAUUAUUACUAUUUAAUAUUACUUUUUGCCUCGGGGUCCAUUUCUCCCCAAUUCCCACAUCCCGUAUUGCCAUCAAGGCAGAGAAUUUGCUUUGCACACCCUUGCUAAUGUCUCUACUCAUUUCCUUCUGGCCUUCAUGCGGCUCAGGAGAGAACUGUACUACAAGCUGGGCUGCAGUCCUGCUCCGUAGGAGUUUCUAGCAUCUUGCAGCUGCCAGCAGAGAGAUUCAGGCCCCUCAAGAAUGAUUUAUUUUUAAACAAAUACAGAAGAAACAAGGCAUUGCUAAUGCUUAGCAACCUCUUGUCCUAGCCUGCCUUUUUGCUUGAAGUUUUAAGUCACGUUAGCUUUAAAAGGGGUUGUUAAUCUUACAGAGUUUCUUAGCUUACAGUACGGCAAACAGCAUCCUUAAAGUGCCCCCGAAUCUUUAUGGCCUGGAAUGGGAUCGUGGCUUUGUCGGUCAGGAUGGUGAGGAAGGGUGGGUUUCAUUUGGGGCUGACACUGGUACAACUUGUGUUCCCUUCACAACCCUUGAUUUCACCAGUUCGAAGAUUCAGCUUUACUAAUCUAGUGCGUUGUUUCCAUAAAGUGUUACGAAAUUCAUUCUGUCUUAAGCGGGCGUAUAAGCAAAUCCAACUGCGUUCUGGAGACUCACCCUUUUGUAUGAGUAUUGAACUAUAAAAUUGCACUAACUGCUAUAUUACAAAAUAAAGAAAGGAAAGCCCAACAUUUUUUACUAAGGAUCGGGAACAGACUGUACCCAGAUGUGUAGCAUUAACAGUGCUAGGUGAGAACAGAAUGAAUUUUUAAUCUUUUCUGUCUCUGUGUCGCUCAGAGAUUUUCUAUGUACCACACAAAGCUACAAACACAAGUUUUCCAGAAACUGCGCUUCAAAUUUUCGCUGUACUAUAGAAGCUCAUGAAGGACAACAUUAAAGUCCUAAUUUGCCUGCCUUAUAGACACAUUUCGUUGUAUUAAUAUUUUCUUAAACUUCCAGUUGCAUUGCGUUGGCUUUGGAGUUUGUUAUAGGCAGUCCUGUAUCCUGAGUUCUGUUCAAGUUUAAACUUAUGUAAACUAUUGACAGCACAUGCAAUGCAGUACUUAUCUAUAUUUUGCUGUUUUAGUAUGAAUAUGUACUCUGAUGCCAAUUUACAAAAACCUGUUGUAAACGCUUAUUGUGUAACAGUAACCGAUAGUGGCAAUUAUAUGUCAUUCUAAAAGCUGCAAUACUUAUACAAUAAAUUUUACAAUACUUUGGAAAAUCUGCCUUCACCUUUUGCUUUGUUACCCAAAAAUCAGAGUUUGCCAACACAAUGUAAUUUCAAAAGCUCUUCCUGUUUUCAAAUAUUGGAAAAUUAAUAUUCUCAGUUCUUUCUAUCUGUGUGGUUUUCUCCCCCUUCCUUGUUAAGGAGCCUUCUGAAUAACAGGCCAACCUCUGUAUUGCCACGAUGUGUUUUCUCCCGUGAAGCUGUAGCUGGUUCCUGGUGUAUUUGCAUGCUCGGUCCGUGUGUGCGUGUACA